GACGAACGCUGGCGGCGUGCUUAACACAUGCAAGUCGAGCGGUAAGGCCCUUUCGGGGGUACACGAGCGGCGAACGGGUGAGUAACACGUGGGUGACCUGCCCUCAGCUCUGGGAUAAGCCUGGGAAACCGGGUCUAAUACCGGAUAUGACUCCAUGACGCAUGUUGUGGGGUGGAAAGCCUUGUGCGGCUGAGGAUGGGCCCGCGGCCUAUCAGCUUGUUGGUGGGGUGAUGGCCUACCAAGGCGACGACGGGUAGCCGGCCUGAGAGGGCGACCGGCCACACUGGGACUGAGACACGGCCCAGACUCCUACGGGAGGCAGCAGGUGGGGAAUCUUGCGCAAUGGGCGAAAGCCUGACGCAGCGACGCCGCGUGAGGGAUGACGGCCUCGG
rnacentral:rRNA from 1 species